AUGUGGAAACUGCUGUAUCCUGAUAGCAAUGGUAGCAAUCAGUCACCAAUCAACAUUGCAACACGGCUCGUCGUUGUGGUGCAACCGUCCAAACCUCUCCGUUGGAACGGCUACGAUAAAGGACCACUAUCCACGACUAUAGCGAAUAACGAAAAUAACGUGAUAGUGAGCACAAUGUGGGGCAACUUGAAUCGACCAUAUAUCGAAGGUGGCUGUUUGACUAACGUUUACGACCUCUGCUCGAUGAUGUUUCAUUGGGGACAAUCGAACGACGAAGGCAGCGAACAUACGUUAGAUUACGUUCGAUAUCCCAUGGAAUUACAAGUGUGGCACAUAAAACGCGGCUUUAACUCACUUUUGGAGGCGAUCGCUGCUAAAGAAAGCGAUGGCAUACUGAUCAUCUCGUUCUUUUUUCAGAUUACGAACGCGGAUAAUCCCUAUUUGGAUCAUAUCGUGAGAAAUCUGCGACGAAUUGUUAAACCAGGGACGAAGGUGCACGUUCCACCGUUUCCGCUGCUAUGGAUAUUUCCACACUUCCAGACGGAUUAUUAUACUUACAACGGUUCUCUUACUCAGCCACCCUGCAGUGAAAUUGUUACGUGGAUCUUGCAACCUGAACCGAUCGCUAUAUCAUCGUCUCAGGUAAAACUAUCGAUUUCUAUAGUUUAUAACGAUUACAUAUACUCAAAUACCUCAAUACGUUUGCCACAUAUUAACUUUUACUACAGAUUGCAGAAUUUCGACAAAUUUGCUCACCGGAUGGUCCUAUACCGUUAAAUUGUAGGCCCGUACAACGAGUGAACGACCGUAGCGUGUACUUUUAUUCAUAGUAUUUGUUAACAAAUUACAAAAUUAAUUUUAUGUCUUAUGCGUUUUCGUGUAGAACUAUCAACACGCGUAUAUAGUCAUUUGUGUGCCCGUUAAAUCUGUAACGUUUUUCUACCAUUUAUGCCAGUAUAAACUGAUUCUUAAUAAAAUCAAGUACAAAGCGAUAUAUUCUCUGUUUUUGCUGUAACGUCAAUCGACAUCGCCUUCCAACCGUCUACUUCGUGCAGCUGCUUCUUCGUUUCUUCGAUACGAAUGAUCGUAUUACCGGCCGACGAAAAGAAUACGCGCGAAAUAUGUACAGCGCUCUUACAAAAAUCGUGUAGAUUCGAUACUAAUGAAGGAAUCGUCUAAUUUUCUUUAACGGGACAAUGAAAUUACUUUUGUUCGCUGUUGAAAAUAUGAAACAUCGGAUAAGUAUUUUACAGAGUAUUGUACAGAGAGCAAUAAUUUUAUUGUUUUCCUGCUAUAUUUUACGAACGCGCCAAAUACUUUCCAACAAAUUUUAUCAGAAAAUAAAGGUAUAACAAAGUUAAACUAGCUCGUCGCAAGUCGCAUCAGGUAUGUAUCGGUACAUAUAUUAUCUAUUUGGCACGAAUUAUUGUAAGAUGCAUGCAUCUGUCUUCUCUUUCUUCUUGCCUGAACCGUCAUUGCAGACACUAUACCGGAGAAUACAAUAGAUCUCUUGUUUUCGUUUUAUCUGGAUACACAUCCAGUUUUCUCAAACGGCUUGCGCUGGUAUUUACGUCGAUGAAUUUAUGAAUCGCAUCUAUCACACGCACACACAUCGAUAUCGGGCACAUUCUCACUUCGACGGUGUAUUUCCCCGGUAAAAAGAUCACAAGAUAUUUUGGAACGUAUUCGCUUGCCGAUGUAUAAGUCACGCGUGCACGUAGUGUGAAAAACGAGAUCUUGUCAAGUGAAUUUCGCAAGCAGAAAAGGGUGAUGAAGGAUUCUCUCGCCGCGUUUUCUCGCUCCGCUCUUAAUCGGCACGUUUACUUGGAACUUCUCGUCGCACAAGGAUAGACCUUGCAACAAAGCGGUUCGUCGUUGUACAUCGUGCUUGAAUAUUUGCAAAAGAUUCUGUCCACCGUUUCUUACGUUUUCUACACCUGACGAUAUACUUAGUCGGCCGAAGAGCUUGGAAAUUGAUCAGGGCCCUAUCCAAAUAUAUUUCGGAGAUCAUCGAUACAUGUUUUACACAUGCUGAUAUUAUAAUAGACAAUAAAAUAGCGUGUAUGUAACUGUAAUGAUCGUUGCAAAAUAUU